GGCGGAUUUUCCGUCACUGAUACAGCGGCGGAUUAUUUUCUGCCACAUUUUUACAAAUCUUAUUUAAAUUAAUUAGGGCAGUUUACGCAUUUCAUUCUCCAGCCCCCGCCGUUCGCCGCUCCAGCUCCGUCGCCGUCGUCCGCUCGGAUCCAACAACCACCGCCGUCGCCGCCAGGUAAUCAAUCCGGAAGACAGGUCAAGAUCCGAGCAGACCUGCAUUGCGGCCGCCUUCCUCAGCGAGAGGUGGUAGCAACUCCAGCAGCAACCGAUACAGUCCUUACAGCAGCUCGAGUAGCAUUUUCAACAGAAUUGGUUCAUACUAUCCCGAUCCACAAGAAACAUCAGAUCCUGCUCCCUCUCACAGCACAACCUCAUCUUCCACCUCUCUUUACGACAACAAGAUCUGCCCCAUAUGCCUUAGCUAUUGGUGCAAAGUACUUGCGGUAUCAGUAGAAAAAGUGAAAUUAAUGUGAUGCCUUCUACUUCUUUGCUACCUCUACUUAAUGUAGCAUUUCUUCUGUAAAACAUCCAAGGCCGCAAUGUUUCUCACUAGUCGACUUUCUGGUCCUUGUUACUGAAAAUUAAAUCAGUUCAAAAAUGACAUUUGUUUGAAUUUUCAUGAUCAUGCUACAUGUGAAUAGGUAGCGGAUAAUUUGCUUCAUGAUACUUCCAGCAACAUAGAAACUUAAGUAUUCUGUUCUCAAACUCUCAGAAGCAAGGUAAUUAGUUCAUUAUUUUUCUUGUUACAAUCAAGAUUCUAUUUAGUAUUUACUCAUUAUUAAUUAGUUCUUUAUAAGUGUUCUCUUGUGGAAGCAGGUGCAACGUGAUUUUUCCAUAGAGUAAGCCGUGUGAAAUAUGCUCCCUUUCCCUGAACUUGUGUGGUUGUAGCUAAGAGCUUUAGGGGGUAUCAUUAAGUGUUUUAUGCAAUCUUUCAUAAUUGAUUUUGUUAUAUAAAUAUUAUGUCUGAGAUGCUACAUCUUUUAUUGGAACAAUCUUUAUUAACACCAUGAUAUUUCCGAAUGUUUUAAUUUUGCAUCUACUUUAUGUAGACAUUACUGAAAUCAUUUCACAAAGGACCUUCUAAAGUUAGGACUUUUUAUGGAUUAUGUAAUGUGUUUGAGUAUUAAAUACUUAGUUUACUAUGCUAAUUCUAAGAUAUUCUAGUUUGGCCUAGUCUAAUUCUGGUGUAAUAAAGAAAUAGGUUUCUGCAGGUGUUAUUCUCAUAAAUAAGAUAAUUUGUAUUGGGAGAUUAACCAAACACAUGUUAUAAGUGUUAAUCAUGAUGCGAUUUCAGGAAUCAGAAUUUUGAGUCAACUCAUUUUUAAUUAAUUUUGAGUCAAAAUCAUAUGUAAUUAAUUAUCCUUCCAAAUUCAAAACAGGUAAUUGGUGCUAGUGGAAAUAGUGGUGUUUGGGGGCAUCUUCUUGAAGAAAAAACAUUUUUAGUUGGUGCUAGUGGAAAGAGUGGUGUUUGGGGGCAUCUUCUUUAAGAAACAACAUCUGAGGUGGCUCAAAGAUGAACAUAUAAUUUUGAUCCAAUAUUUGGAAAGGAAAGAGACGAAGUUCAUGAGACUAGGAAGGAACAAGAUUGUGGAUGAUAAAUUUGCCAAAAACGAUCCCACCACUAUUUUGCAGACUGAGAAGCUACAUGCUCAGCUAUUAGUAUUAACUAAAAUUUAGAAUUUGCACUGAUGUUCAAUAUUAUUAAACGCUGAUGUUUAGAGUAAUAUGAGUAUUUUGGUGUAUCUAUUGUUAUUUUUACUAUGAAUGCAUUGAUUUGUUGAAAAAUUAUCUAUAAAUAAUAAAUAAUUUAGCGGCGGAUGGAUUCUGCUACUAAAUAGCAUUAUAUGUA